rnacentral:rRNA from 1 species
CUGCCGGGGUUCACCGCUAUUGGAGUUCGCCUAAGCCAUGCAAGUCGAGAGGGUUCGGCCCUCGGCGUACCGCUCAGUAACACGCGGAUAAUCUAACCUAUGGUGAGGGAUAAUCUCGGGAAACUGAGGCUAAUACCUCAUAGAUCAGAUAUGCUGGAAUGCUUUCUGGUCCAAAGCUGAGGCGCCAUAGGAUGAGUCUGCGGCCUAUCAGGUAGUAGUGAGUGUAACGGACUCACUAGCCGACGACGGGUACGGGCUGUGGAAGCAGUCGCCCGGAGAUGGAUUCUGAGACACGAAUCCAGGCCCUACGGGGCGCAGCAGGCGCGAAAACUUUACACUGCAGGAAACUGCGAUAAGGGAACUCCAAGUGUCUAUGCUUCGCAUAGUCUGUUUUCCUGUCCAAAAAACAGGGAGAGUAAGGGCUGGGUAAGACGGGUGCCAGCCGCCGCGGUAAUACCCGCAGCCCGAGUGGUGAACACUUUUAUUGGGCCUAAAGCGUCCGUAGCCGGUCUGGUAAAUCCUUGGGUAAAUCGUACGGCCUAACCGUACGAAUUCUGGGGAGACUGUCAGACUUGGGACCGGGAGAGGUUAGAGGUACUCCAGGGGUAGGGGUGAAAUCCUGUAAUCCUUGGAGGACCACCGGUGGCGAACGCGUCUAACUAGAACGGAUCCGACGGUGAGGGACGAAGCCGUGGGGCACAAACCGGGAUUAGAUACCCGGGUAGUCCACGGUGUAAACGCUGCGGGCUUGGUGUUGGGGGUCCUAAGGGGGCGCCC